rnacentral:piRNA from 2 species
UUCCUGGAAGAAUCUUUGGAAAAGGGUCCC